rnacentral:rRNA from 1 species
UACGGAGGGUGCAAGCAUUAAUCGGAUUUAUUGGGCGUAAAGGGCGCGUAGGCGGAGAGAUAAGUCAGAUGUGAAAUCCCGGGGCUCACCCCCGGAACAGCAUAUGAAACUAUCUUUCUUGAGGGUAGGAGGGGAAAACGGAAUUCCACAAGUAGCGGUGAAAUGCGUAGAUAUGUGGAAGAACACCGGUGGCGAAGGCGGUUUUCUAUCUUAUUCCUGACGCUGAGGCGCGAAAGCAAGGGGAUCAAACAGG